AACUGCGGACGGCUCAUUAUAACAGUAAUAGUUUCUUUGGUUAGUAAAAUACAAGGAUAGCUUUGUGAAUGAUAAAGAUAAUACUUGAGACGAUCCAGUUUGUAUUAGUACAAAAUGGCCAAUUCAUUCAAUGAAUUGAGAAAUGACAUUCUAAGUGAGUUAGGAUGCCACGACAAUUGUAGAACACACAGUGUUUAACAAGUAACCAAUGAGAAUUUCUGAUCUAUCAAUCAGUUGGUAGUAUCGAGGACUACCAAGAUUAUAACGGAUAACGAGGAAUUGGGGUUCGACAUCGGAGAGGGAGCUUUACAGAUGGCUACCACUUCUAAGGAAGGCAGCAGGCGCGUAAAUUAC
rnacentral:rRNA from 1 species